UACGUAGGGGGCAAGCGUUGUCCGGAUUUAUUGGGCGUAAAGAGCGUGUAGGCGGUUAGGUAGGUCCGUUGUGAAAACUCGAGGCUCAACCUCGAGACGCCGAUGGAAACCAUCUGACUAGAGUCCGGAAGAGGAGAGUGGAAUUCCUGGUGUAGCGGUGAAAUGCGCAGAUAUCAGGAAGAACACCGGUGGCGAAGGCGGGUCUCUGGGCCGUAACUGACGCUGAGGAGCGAAAGCGUGGGGAGCGAACAGG
rnacentral:rRNA from 1 species